GGUUACAGUCAUGUUGAAACACCUGUUCUUGUAUGAUCACUGAAGUUAAGCAACAUAAAGCACGGUCAGUACUUAGAUGGGUGACCGCUUGAAAAUACCAAGUGUUGUA